rnacentral:rRNA from 1 species
UUAAGCGACUAAGCGUACACGGUGGAUGCCCUGGCAGUCAGAGGCGAUGAAGGACGUGCUAAUCUGCGAUAAGCGUCGGUAAGGUGAUAUGAACCGUUAUAACCGGCGAUUUCCGAAUGGGGAAACCCAGUGUGUUUCGACACACUAUCAUUAACUGAAUCCAUAGGUUAAUGAGGCGAACCGGGGGAACUGAAACAUCUAAGUACCCCGAGGAAAAGAAAUCAACCGAGAUUCCCCCAGUAGCGGCGAGCGAACGGGGAGCAGCCCAGAGCCUGAAUCAGUGUGUGUGUUAGUGGAAGCGUCUGGAAAGGCGCGCGAUACAGGGUGACAGCCCCGUACACAAAAAUGCACAUGCUGUGAGCUCGAUGAGUAGGGCGGGACACGUGGUAUCCUGUCUGAAUAUGGGGGGACCAUCCUCCAAGGCUAAAUACUCCUGACUGACCGAUAGUGAACCAGUACCGUGAGGGAAAGGCGAAAAGAACCCCGGCGAGGGGAGUGAAAAAGAACCUGAAACCGUGUACGUACAAGCAGUGGGAGCACGCUUAGGCGUGUGACUGCGUACCUUUUGUAUAAUGGGUCAGCGACUUAUAUUCUGUAGCAAGGUUAACCGAAUAGGGGAGCCGAAGGGAAACCGAGUCUUAACUGGGCGUUAAGUUGCAGGGUAUAGACCCGAAACCCGGUGAUCUAGCCAUGGGCAGGUUGAAGGUUGGGUAACACUAACUGGAGGACCGAACCGACUAAUGUUGAAAAAUUAGCGGAUGACUUGUGGCUGGGGGUGAAAGGCCAAUCAAACCGGGAGAUAGCUGGUUCUCCCCGAAAGCUAUUUAGGUAGCGCCUCGUGAAUUCAUCUCCGGGGGUAGAGCACUGUUUCGGCAAGGGGGUCAUCCCGACUUACCAACCCGAUGCAAACUGCGAAUACCGGAGAAUGUUAUCACGGGAGACACACGGCGGGUGCUAACGUCCGUCGUGAAGAGGGAAACAACCCAGACCGCCAGCUAAGGUCCCAAAGUCAUGGUUAAGUGGGAAACGAUGUGGGAAGGCCCAGACAGCCAGGAUGUUGGCUUAGAAGCAGCCAUCAUUUAAAGAAAGCGUAAUAGCUCACUGGUCGAGUCGGCCUGCGCGGAAGAUGUAACGGGGCUAAACCAUGCACCGAAGCUGCGGCAGCGACGCUUAUGCGUUGUUGGGUAGGGGAGCGUUCUGUAAGCCUGCGAAGGUGUGCUGUGAGGCAUGCUGGAGGUAUCAGAAGUGCGAAUGCUGACAUAAGUAACGAUAAAGCGGGUGAAAAGCCCGCUCGCCGGAAGACCAAGGGUUCCUGUCCAACGUUAAUCGGGGCAGGGUGAGUCGACCCCUAAGGCGAGGCCGAAAGGCGUAGUCGAUGGGAAACAGGUUAAUAUUCCUGUACUUGGUGUUACUGCGAAGGGGGGACGGAGAAGGCUAUGUUGGCCGGGCGACGGUUGUCCCGGUUUAAGCGUGUAGGCUGGUUUUCCAGGCAAAUCCGGAAAAUCAAGGCUGAGGCGUGAUGACGAGGCACUACGGUGCUGAAGCAACAAAUGCCCUGCUUCCAGGAAAAGCCUCUAAGCAUCAGGUAACAUCAAAUCGUACCCCAAACCGACACAGGUGGUCAGGUAGAGAAUACCAAGGCGCUUGAGAGAACUCGGGUGAAGGAACUAGGCAAAAUGGUGCCGUAACUUCGGGAGAAGGCACGCUGAUAUGUAGGUGAAGUCCCUCGCGGAUGGAGCUGAAAUCAGUCGAAGAUACCAGCUGGCUGCAACUGUUUAUUAAAAACACAGCACUGUGCAAACACGAAAGUGGACGUAUACGGUGUGACGCCUGCCCGGUGCCGGAAGGUUAAUUGAUGGGGUUAGCGCAAGCGAAGCUCUUGAUCGAAGCCCCGGUAAACGGCGGCCGUAACUAUAACGGUCCUAAGGUAGCGAAAUUCCUUGUCGGGUAAGUUCCGACCUGCACGAAUGGCGUAAUGAUGGCCAGGCUGUCUCCACCCGAGACUCAGUGAAAUUGAACUCGCUGUGAAGAUGCAGUGUACCCGCGGCAAGACGGAAAGACCCCGUGAACCUUUACUAUAGCUUGACACUGAACAUUGAGCCUUGAUGUGUAGGAUAGGUGGGAGGCUUUGAAGUGUGGACGCCAGUCUGCAUGGAGCCGACCUUGAAAUACCACCCUUUAAUGUUUGAUGUUCUAAC